GGCGGAACUGGCAGACGCACAGGACUUAAAAUCCUGCGGUGAGAGAUCACCGUACCGGUUCGAUUCCGGUC
rnacentral:tRNA from 1 species